rnacentral:piRNA from 1 species
UGUAAAACAAGGUUGGUUGUGAGA